UCGAGUUAGGCGACGACUCGACGGGUUCACCUUCUUAACCAAUAUUCAAGUCCUUCAUCCUACUCGCCGAGUUGUAUGAACAACUCGUCGAGUUCAUCUUCAUCCGAUGAACACUUUAUGCUAAGACUCGCCGAGUUGUAUGAACAACUCGCCGAGUCUGUUCUUGAGCUAUGAAGAUUGCCUUGGACUCGCCGAGUCAGGGCAUUGACUCGCCGAGUCCUAACAUGGGUGAGUUCAGCUCCCAACUCACCGAGUCACCCCCUGUGACUCAAGGCUCAACUCGACACAUGAAGAAGGGACCAAUUCUGUGACUCGCGACCAGACUCGCCGAGUCACCUAUGCGACUCGCCGAGUCGUCGCCAUGCACUCCUUAAAUAUACCGAUUUGCUCGGUUCCAGACCAUGCCAUUCAUAGAUCUGGACUUCUAGGACACGAAUCACACGUAAAGUUUCCAACUUUACGUGUGGAUAUCCACCAAUAAGGAUUAUAAGGCUCAAAAUGUCUCAAAAUGGUAGAUCUAGGGCUAACAAGUCUUAUGAGGCCAAAAAGCUAACAGAUCUGAGCUCCUGGAGCUCAAUCUUACAUAGAUCCAAAGGCCAAACGCCUUAUUACAACAUAUAAUGAACAUGCAAACUUGGGGAAUUGACCAAGAAGGACCCAAAUGAAGUUUUAAGCAUAGAAUCAAGGGGAAAACGGGUUAUACCUCAAAGGAAAUGUUGAAAUGACACAAGGAUGGCUGAUCUCCUUCUCCUCUUCUUGAUCUACUCCUCUUACUCUUCAAAACCUUCAAGAACACACCAAGAACACCUCAAACUCUCAAGAAAACAAGGGAAAACGAUGUAGGGGGAGUUCUGGGGGUGAAUGGGGACGAGUUGGGGCGGAAUGAGAGUUUAAAUAGGGUGCAAACCCUUGAAACUUAGGGUUUCAUCCCGCAGCGGUGACUCGCCGAGUCCAGGAUAUGGACUCGUCGAGUCGCCUACUUAAAACGCGUCCUGAGUCUCGUCCCUACUCGGCGAGUCGGACCCUAUGACUCGCCGAGUCUAAGGCUAAAUUAGGGCAAUGCUCAAAUAAAAUUCACAUACCGGAAACCAGGUGCUACACAUAUCCCCCACUUAUUUUAGACUUCGUCCUCGAAGUCUGCUGCCUGAUCCUGAAACAGCUCGGGGUAGUGCUCCAUCAUCUCGUCUACCGGCUCCCAAGUCCACUCUGAACCCUUGCGGUGCUGCCAUUGCACCUUCACUAGCUCCACCCUCUUGUUCCUUAAAUCCUUCGACUUCCUGUCGAGGAUUGCGACUGGGCGCUCGAUGUAGUUCAGGCUGUCAUCAACCUGAAUAUCCUCCAAAGGUACUACUGCAGAAUCGUCCACUAGGCACUUCCGCAACUGCGAAACAUGGAAAGUGCUGUGGAUCUGGCUAAGCUCGGCUGGCAGAUCCAGCCUAUAUGCUACCUUGCCCACCCGGGCUAAGACCCUGAACGGUCCGAUGAAUCGCGGGCCCAACUUGCCCCGCUUCCUGAAUCGGAUGACGCCUUUCCACGGCGACACCUUCAGGAGGACCAUAUCCCCGACCUGGAACUCUAAAUCGGAUCGACGCUUGUCGGCAUAACUUUUCUGUCGACUCUGAGCAGUCUGAAGCCUGCUCCGGACCUGCUGUAUCCUCUCAGUCGUCUUGAGCACCACUUCGGUGCUUCCCAUAACUCUCUGGCCAACCUCACCCCAGCAUAUCGGGGUCCUACACCUCCGUCCGUACAACAUCUCGAAGGGAGGGCGGUCGAUACUCGCGUGAUAGCUGUUGUUGUAGGAGAACUCAGCCAAAGGAAGAUAGGUAUCCCAGCUACCACCGAAAUCCAGAACACACGCCCGCAACAUGUCCUCCAAAGUCUGGAUGGUCCGCUCACUCUGUCCAUCUGUCUGCGGGUGAAAGGCGGUGCUGAAAUGCAGACGAGUGCCCAACUCGUCAUGGAAUCUCUUCCAAAACCUGGAAGUAAAACGCACAUCCCUGUCCGAGAUCACCGAUACUGGCACCCCAUGCCGUGCCACAAUCUCCCUGAUAUAGAUGUCGGCCAAUUUCUCGGCCGAUAUGCUCUCCGGAAUCGGAAUAAAGUGAGCACUCUUGGUCAAUCUAUCCACGAUGACCCAAAUCGAAUCCACUCCACGCGCGGUCCUGGGAAGCUUCGUGAUAAAAUCCAUCGUGAUAUCUUCCCACUUCCACAGUGGAAUGUCCAACGGCUGCAUCUUGCCAUGCGGCCUCUGAUGUUCGGCCUUGACCUUCCUGCAGGUCAAGCACCGCUCGACGUACCAUGCCACAUCCCGCUUCAUGCAGGGCCACCAAUAGUCUAGACGAAGAUCCCUAUACAUCUUCGUCGCCCCGGGAUGAAUAGAGAAUCGGGACUUGUGCGCCUCCUCCAUCAAAAUCUGGCGCACGCCCCCGUGAUACGGCACCCACACCCUAUGGUGUAGUGUCAAUAACCCUCGGCUAUCAUAAUCGAAGGAGGAAACCUGACCUACUACGCGCUCGUUCUUCCGAUGCUCCUCCUUGAUAGCCUCCUGUUGAGCUUCCCGAAUCUGCUCCAACAGGGGAGUCACCACAGUCAUCCUCAAACAGGCGUCCCUGAUCGGCGCCGUCUUGCGGCUAAGCGCAUCGGCCACCACAUUGGCCUUUCCCGGGUGGUAAAGGAUCUCGCAAUCAUAAUCCUUCACCACAUCCAACCACCGACGCUGCCUCAUGUUCAGAUUCGGCUGGUCCAUGAGGUACCUCAAGCUCUUGUGGUCCGUGUAGAUGGUACACCGAACCCCAUAGAGGUAAUGUCGCCAAAUCUUGAGGGCAAAUACCACCGCCCCCAACUCCAAAUCGUGCGUCGGGUAGUUCGCCUCGUGAGGCUUGAGCUGCCUCGAAGCGUAAGCAAUGACAUGCCCCCUUUGCAUCAGCACCGCGCCCAACCCAGAAAUGGACGCAUCGCAAUAAACCACGAAAUCCUCUACGCCCUCUGGCAGGGCUAAGAUCGGCGCCUCACACAAUCUCUGUCUCAGCGUCUCAAAUGCAGCCUGCUGCUCGGGUCCCCACCGAAAGACCACGGCUUUCUUCGUCAGCCGCGUCAGGGGCACGGCUAUCUUGGAGAAAUCCUGGAUAAAUCUCCGAUAGUAGCCUGCCAAUCCUAGGAAGCUCCGAAUCUCAGAUGGGGACUUCGGAACCUCCCAUCUCAUCACGGCCUCGACCUUGGCCGGAUCGACCAGAAUCCCGUUCUGGUUGACGAGGUGCCCCAGAAAUUGCACCUCGCGCAACCAAAACUCACACUUGGAGAACUUGGCAUACAAGCUCUCCCUCCUCAGGGUCUCUAACACCUCUCUCAAAUGCUCCUCAUGUUCCUCCCGGGUCUUGGAAUAAACCAAGAUAUCAUCGAUAAAGACUAUCACAGACCGGUCCAGCAUCGGUCUGCAUACACGGUUCAUGAGGUCCAUGAACGCGGCAGGAGCAUUGGUGAGCCCAAACGGCAUCACCACAAACUCGUAAUGGCCAUAGCGCGUCCGAAACGCGGUCUUCUGCAUAUCCUCCUCCCUGACCCUCAUCUGAUGAUAACCCGAACGCAAAUCAAUCUUGGAGAACCAAGAUGCGCCCUGAAGCUGGUCAAAGAGGUCAUCAAUCCUCGGAAGCGGGUAACGGUUCUUCACCGUUACCUUGUUCAGCUCCCGAUAAUCUAUACACAUCCGAUGCGACCCAUCCUUCUUCUUCACAAACAGAAUCGGGGCUCCCCAGGGCGAACUGCUCGGCCGAAUAAAUCCCUUGUCCAGCAGCUCCUGCAGCUGCGUAGACAACUCCUGCAUCUCGGGAGGAGCCAACCGAUACGGUGCUUUGGCUAUCGGAGCCGCACCGGGAACGAGGUCAAUCCUGAACUCCACCUGUCGCUCCGGAGGUAUCCCAGGUAGUUCCUCCGGAAAAACAUCAGCAAAAUCUCGAACCACCGGGACCUCGCUCACGGUCGCCUUACCCGCCUCCCGGGUGUCCAUCACGUACGCGACAUAACCCGCGCAUCCCUGCUGAAGGUAGCGCCUAGCCCUCGCUGCUGAACAUACAGUGGGUCCACACUGCGGCCGCUCUCCAUGAAUCACUAACUCUCCCCCGCUUGGGGUCUUGACUCGCACUAGCUGCUGUGCGCAAUCUAUCACUGCCCCAUUAGGGCUCAACCAAUCCAUACCAAUAAUCACCUUGUUCCCACGCAAUGGAAUGGGAACCAAGUCUACCAGGUAACACUCCUCAAACAGUCGCAGGACACAAUCUCGAAACACCAUCGAUGCUCGCACCGAUCGAUCAUCGGCAAUCUCUACCUCUAACGGGCAAUCUAACUCGCCUGAAGUCUCAUGAAAUCUCUUGCUAAGAGCAAGAGAAACGAACGAUCGGGAUGCACCCGAGUCGAACAAUACCUGAACCGGGAUGCCGUUCACAUGGAACGAUCCUAAUACACAUGUAUACACACGGAGCACAUAUCAAUAUCAUAACAACGUAAAAUAAAAGAUAGAAGGAAGGAAUCAUACCCGUCACCACAUCGGGCGCGGCGCGUGCCUCCUCGGCAGUCAACUGAAAUGCCCGACUCCUCACCACUGGAGCCUCUGCCUUGCCCUGACGGCCAUCCGUGAUCCGCAGGGUCGCUGGAGCUGGCGCCUUCACUGGCGCUGAAGCUGUCAACAUGGGGCAAUUGGCCUUCUUGUGGCCCCUCUGGUUGCAGUGGAAACACAGCAACUCCGAUGUCUGAAUAACGGUCGCAGGAGCAGUGCAAUCCCUGCUGAUAUGCCCAAACUUGCCGCACUUGUAGCAGCCUGACGAUCCCAUCCUGCACGCCCCCUCGUGCGGCCUGCCGCACCUCCUGCAGCGGCUCGGUCCCGACUGGCCUUUCGGCCUCCCAUCUGAUCCCUUGGGCUUCUUCCCCGAAGCCCCCGAUGACUGACCAUCCUCAAGUUUCCGUUUCCGGAUGUGCUCCAAAUCUAUCUCUCUCUCCCUAGCCCUGGCAAUCAUGGAGUCCAGGGUAGGGCAAGCCGAAAAGCUAACAUGCUCCCGAAUGUCAGCUCGUAGCAUGUCGUGGUAACGAGUCCUCCUCAUAUCCUCGUCACCUGCAUACUGGGGCACCAAUAAAGCCCUCUCCCGAAACUUGGCGGUGAUCUCCGCCACGGUCUCUGUCGUCUGCCUCAUGUCUAAGAACUCCCUGGCCAGCUGCUGAAGCUCGACCGCUGGCGCAAACUCUGCCCUGAACCUAGUCACAAAGUCCGACCAGGUCAUUGCCUCGACAGCCGAGGCUCCCAUCGAGUCACCCACUGACUCCCACCAAUCUCGGGCCCGGUCCCGUAAACACCCUGCUGCGUACCUCACCUUCGACCCCUCGGGGCAGAAGCUGAUCAACUGGGCGGACUCGAUAUCCGCAAUCCACCGCCUGGCGACAAUGGGGUCCUUCACCCCAUGGAAAUCCGGCGCACCACUGCUCCUGAAGUCCUUGAAGGACAGUGUGCGAGAUCCUGACUGGCUAGAGGCCAAGUCGCUCCUGAAUGCCCGUAGGCGAUCCUCCAUCAUCUCCACGAUCCCUUCCUUGAUCGACCCAAAGAUGAUGGGGGUCGACUCAAGGAUGCCCCUAGUGAUCUCCGACGUGAUGAACUCACGUAGCCUCUCCUCAAUCGGCUCGGUGCCAGAUCCCGAACCUGACCCCUCUCCUGACCCGCCAUCUGUCGGUCUCGGUCGAAGUACCACCAUUCUGCAAAACAUCAAUAAUAAUCAUUAGUGGUACUGCUACUUUCUGAGGGAUCUCAACUACUUACAGGUUCCUUGGUCUCGUCUUGGCCUUCCUCGGCUCGGGUACGGAUCCUCUGCUUUCAGUAGUACGGGCCCAUACUACCUUCCACAUCUAUCCGUACCUUCUCCGAGGAAUUCCUCGACUCCACCAACUCCCCUCUACUACUGCUACUCUCCGAUAUUCUCACCCUAGGCUUGCCCUAGGGAGAACUCAAGUUCAACACAACUGGUCCUCAGCUGCUGUAGGUCUCCUCAUAAUGCCAGUUAGCCACCACCUAAACACCAUCACAUGUAAUGAGGAUUAGAUAAUCCUUCAAGUAAAAGAUCCGUCCCUACAACGGUUGGACUCAAACAAGAGCUGCGCAAUAGGGCCAGUUCCAACACUUUGGGAUUAUUCAACCCUGAUUACAUGUGGUGUGACGUGUUUACCUAGUGGCUCACUCCCAUUACUCAGAAUCCCACCGAGCACGAAGCAAGCAGCAUUCGGAUAAGGAAAAACAGACUCAAGCCAAAACUGUUCUUAGAACAAGAAACGACACUUAACAUAGGAUGCUAAGCUCAUACUAUCAGGCAUAACCUAAACAGGCUACCCUACUGCUGUCUACUCAAUUCUAGCAUGCAAUAUUCAAUAAGCUGGAACAAAUAAACAGGCACAUAAGGCAUCACUCCUAGAUCCUUAGCCUAUUCUAGCAUGCAAUAUUCAUAAAGCUGAUAAACAUAACAUAAACUUGUAUGGGUACUAUGGGGAAUACUUACUUGAGCUCGGCCGGUCGCGCACGUCACACACUUUACUCUUUCUCGUGACUCUUUUCCGGGUUUUAAAGAAUAAUUUCUUUUGGAAAAAUCUUUCAAUCCCUCGGUUUGAGUCCAAACACUCCCGAAGGCGUGUCCGAAUCCCUCAAACCAGGGCUCUGAUACCAACUUGUAACGACCCAAAUUUUAUUUUUUUUUUUUUUUGAUAUUACUUUAGAAAACAUUAAUAAAUAAAAACAUUGUCUAAAUAAAAAGAAACAUUGUUUGUUCACACCAUAACACAUUGCAACCAUGUUCUCAAAAGCCAAACCGUACAUCCCAUCAAAUAUCAGAGUACAAUCCCAGUAAAUCUCAUAAAUGCGGAAACCGAAGAGUGUGUGUAUGACGUGCCGCUACCGCGCCGGCUCCUUCCCCUUCGAUGCAGAGGUACCUGAAAACAAAACUGUAAACGUAAGCACAAAGCUUAGUGAGUUCCCCCAACGUACCGCAUACCAUACAAACACAUAACAUAUAUACUGCCAGGCUAUUCUGGGGUGCCUGACUACCCGGUACGGCCAUUCUGGGGUGCCGACCUACCCGUGUCAAGCCAUUCUGGGGUGCUGACCUACCCAUACGGCCAUUCUGGGGUGCCGUCUUACCCGUGUCAAGCCAUUCUGGGGUGCUGACUACCCAUCGGUCCUGACAACCGAUUCUCGGGGACUAUUUCACCCCUACUACUAUGAUCACAUAUAACAUAACAAGCCAGCAUGCAAACAUAUCAUCACAUACUGUCAGACGUAUCUGGGGUGUCUGACUACCCUUCGGUCCUAACGACCGAACUUUACUACUAUCACAGACAACAUAUCAUGCUAGCAUAUAACAUAUCAGGUAAUAGCAAACUUAGAUGAUAUCACAAAGACAAUCAUCUACCAUACAUCUCCUACUGGUGGGUCGGCAUUGUGGCCUUAGACCCACCGCUACUGGAAGGUAACUCACCUCAAAGUAGCUGCUGAACUGAUCGGAAACUGACUGCCUACUGCUGCCGCUGCUGCUCCGGAAAUCCUCCGGCUGCAAUUUCCACAAUAAACCCAAUCAAACAUUGCUCACUGACCUUUGGGUAAAAUGACCAUUUUACCCAUGACCAUGCCCUAAGUCAAAGUCAGAGUCAACUUUCAGUUGACCCGACUCGCCGAGUUGGCUUUCCAACUCGCCGAGUCCCUAUCCAAACGACUGCCCUGAAUCCCGAUCCUACCCGUCGAGUUAGGCGACGACUCGACGGGUUCACCUUCUUAACCAAUAUUCAAGUCCUUCAUCCUACUCGCCGAGUUGUAUGAACAACUCGUCGAGUUCAUCUUCAUCCGAUGAACACUUUAUGCUAAGACUCGCCGAGUUGUAUGAACAACUCGCCGAGUCUGUUCUUGAGCUAUGAAGAUUGCCUUGGACUCGCCGAGUCAGGGCAUUGACUCGCCGAGUCCUAACAUGGGUGAGUUCAGCUCCCAACUCACCGAGUCACCCCCUGUGACUCAAGGCUCAACUCGACACAUGAAGAAGGGACCAAUUCGGUGACUCGCGACCAGACUCGCCGAGUCACCUAUGCGACUCGCCGAGUCGUCGCCAUGCACUCCUUAAAUAUACCGAUUUGCUCGGUUCCAGACUAUGCCAUUCAUAGAUCUGGACUUCUAGGACACGAAUCACACGUAAAGUUUCCAACUUUACGUGUGGAUAUCCACCAAUAAGGAUUAUAAGGCUCAAAAUGUCUCAAAAUGGUAGAUCUAGGGCUAACAAGUCUUAUGAGGCCAAAAAGCUAACAGAUCUGAGCUCUUGGAGCUCAAUCUUACAUAGAUCCAAAGGCCAAACGCCUUAUUACAACAUAUAAUGAACAUGCAAACUUGGGGAAUUGACCAAGAAGGACCCAAAUGAAGUUUUAAGCAUAGAAUCAAGGGGAAAACGGGUUAUACCUCAAGGGAAAUGCUGAAAUGACACAAGGAUGGCUGAUCUCCUUCUCCUCUUCUUGAUCUACUCCUCUUACACUUCAAAACCUUCAAGAAUACACUAAGAGCACCUCAAACUCUCAAGAAAACAAGGGGAAAACGAUGUAGGGGGAGUUCUGGGGUGAAUGGGGACGAGUUGGGGCGGAAUGAGGGUUUAAAUAGGGUGCAAACCCUUGAAACUUAGGGUUUCAUCCCGCAGCGGUGACUCGCCGAGUCCAGGAUAUGGACUCGUCGA
rnacentral:lncRNA from 1 species